CAGCAGCCACGGUAAUACGAAGGGUGCAAGCGUUAAUCGGAAUUACUGGGCGUAAAGCGUGCGUAGGCGGUGAGUUAAGUCUGCUGUGAAAUCCCCGGGCUCAACCUGGGAAUGGCAGUGGAUACUGGCUCGCUAGAGUGUGUCAGAGGAUGGUGGAAUUCCCGGUGUAGCGGUGAAAUGCGUAGAGAUCGGGAGGAACAUCAGUGGCGAAGGCGGCCAUCUGGGACAACACUGACGCUGAGGCACGAAAGCGUGGGGAGCAAACAGGAUUAGAUACCCCGGUAGUCCCUGUCUCUUAUAA
rnacentral:rRNA from 1 species